rnacentral:rRNA from 1 species
AUGAACGCUGGCGGCGUGCUUAACACAUGCAAGUCGAACGAAGCACUUAAGAUUGAUUCUUCGGAUGACGUCUUUUGUGACUUAGUGGCGGACGGGUGAGUAACGCGUGGGUAACCUGCCUCACACAGGGGGAUAACAGUUAGAAAUGACUGCUAAUACCGCAUAACCCGAUAGGAUCGCAUGAUCCAGACGGAAAAGAUUUAUCGGUGUGAGAUGGACCCGCGUCUGAUUAGCUAGUUGGUGAGGUAACGGCCCACCAAGGCGACGAUCAGUAGCCGGCCUGAGAGGGUGAACGGCCACAUUGGGACUGAGACACGGCCCAAACUCCUACGGGAGGCAGCAGUGGGGAAUAUUGCACAAUGGGGGAAACCCUGAUGCAGCGACGCCGCGUGAGUGAAGAAGUAUUUCGGUAUGUAAAGCUCUAUCAGCAGGGAAAAAAAUGACGGUACCUGACUAAGAAGCCCCGGCUAACUACGUG